ensembl:lncRNA
GUGUGUGAGUAGAGUCCAGUGUGUGAGUAGAGUCCAGUGUGUGAGUAGAGUCCAGUGUGUGAGUAGAGUCCUGUGUGUGAGUAGAGUCCAGUGCGUGUGUAGUCCAGUCCGUGUGUAGAGUCCAGUGCGUGUGUAGAGUCGUGUGUAGAGUCCAGUGCGUGUGUAGAGUCCAGUGUGUGUGUAGAUGUGUGAGUAGAGUCCAGUGCGUGUUUUGAGUCCAGUGCGUGGGUAGAGUCCAGUGCGUGGGUAGAGUCCAGUGUGUGAGUACAGUCCAGUGUGUGAGUAGAGUCCAGUGCAUGUGUAGAGUCCAGUGCGUGAGUAGAGUCCAGUGCGUGUGUAGAGUCGUGUGUAGAAUCCAGUGCGUGUGUAGAAUCCAGUGCGUGUGUAGAGUCCAGUGCGUGUGUAGAUGUGUGAGUAGAGUCCAGUGCAUGUGUAGAGUCCAGUGUGUGAGUAGAGUCCAGUGCGUGUGUAGAGUCGUGUGUAGAGUCCAGUGCGUGUGUAGAGUCCAGUGCGUGUGUAGAGUCGUGUGUAGAGUCCAGUGCGUGUGUAGAGUCCAGUGCGUGUGUAGAGUCGUGUGUAGAGUCCAGUGCGUGUGUAGAGUCCAGUGCGUGUGUAGAGUCCAGUGUGUGUGU